AAUAUUGGACAAUGGGGGCAACCCUGCUCCAGCCAUGCCGCGUGUGUGAAGAAGGUCUUCGCAUUGUAAAGCACUUUAAGUUGGGCGGACGGGCUUUAGGCUAAUACCCUGAAGUUUUGACGUUACCAACCGUAUAAGCACCGGCUAACUCUGUGCCAGCAGCCGCGGUAAUACAGAGGGUGCAAGCGUUAAUCGGAAUUACUGGGCUUAAAGCGGACGUAGGUGGUUCAGUAAGAUGGGUGUGAAAUCCCCGGGCUUAACCUGGGAACUGCUUUCAUAACUGCUGAGCUAGAGUACGGUAGAGGGAAGUGGAAAUUCCUGUGUAGCGGUGAAAUGCGUAGAUAUAGGAAGGAACACCAGUGGCGAAGGCGACUACCUGGACUGAUACUGACACUGAGGUGCGAAAGCGUGGGGAGCAAAC
rnacentral:rRNA from 1 species